AGUGAACGCUGGCGGUAGGCCUAACACAUGCAAGUCGAACGGCAGCACAGUAAGAGCUUGCUCUUACGGGUGGCGAGUGGCGGACGGGUGAGGAAUACAUCGGAAUCUACUUUUUCGUGGGGGAUAACGUAGGGAAACUUACGCUAAUACCGCAUACGACCUACGGGUGAAAGCAGGGGAUCUUCGGACCUUGCGCGAUUGAAUGAGCCGAUGUCGGAUUAGCUAGUUGGCGGGGUAAAGGCCCACCAAGGCGACGAUCCGUAGCUGGUCUGAGAGGAUGAUCAGCCACACUGGAACUGAGACACGGUCCAGACUCCUACGGGAGGCAGCAGUGGGGAAUAUUGAACAAUGGGCGCAAGCCUGAUCCAGCCAUACCGCGUGGGUGAAGAAGGCCUUCGGGUUGUAAAGCCCUUUUGUUGGGAAAGAAAAGAAGCAGGUUAAUACCCCGCUGUUCUGACGGUACCCAAAGAAUAAGCACCGGCUAACUUCGU
rnacentral:rRNA from 1 species